rnacentral:rRNA from 1 species
CCUUGCUUCUCUGAUGUUAGCGGCGGACGGGUGAGUAACACGUGGAUAACCUACCUAUAAGACUGGGAUAACUUCGGGAAACCGGAGCUAAUACCGGAUAAUAUUUUGAACCGCAUGGUUCAAAAGUGAAAGACGGUCUUGCUGUCACUUAUAGAUGGAUCCGCGCUGCAUUAGCUAGUUGGUAAGGUAACGGCUUACCAAGGCAACGAUGCAUAGCCGACCUGAGAGGGUGAUCGGCCACACUGGAACUGAGACACGGUCCAGACUCCUACGGGAGGCAGCAGUAGGGAAUCUUCCGCAAUGGGCGAAAGCCUGACGGAGCAACGCCGCGUGAGUGAUGAAGGUCUUCGGAUCGUAAAACUCUGUUAUUAGGGAAGAACAUAUGUGUAAGUAACUGUGCACAUCUUGACGGUACCUAAUCAGAAAGCCACGGCUAACUACGUGCCAGCAGCCGCGGUAAUACGUAGGUGGCAAGCGUUAUCCGGAAUUAUUGGGCGUAAAGCGCGCGUAGGCGGUUUUUUAAGUCUGAUGUGAAAGCCCACGGCUCAACCGUGGAGGGUCAUUGGAAACUGGAAAACUUGAGUGCAGAAGAGGAAAGUGGAAUUCCAUGUGUAGCGGUGAAAUGCGCAGAGAUAUGGAGGAACACCAGUGGCGAAGGCGACUUUCUGGUCUGUAACUGACGCUGAUGUGCGAAAGCGUGGGGAUCAAACAGGAUUAGAUACCCUGGUAGUCCACGCCGUAAACGAUGAGUGCUAAGUGUUAAGGGGGUUUCCGCCCCUUAGUGCUGCAGCUAACGCAUUAAGCACUCCGCCUGGGGAGUACGACCGCAAGGUUGAAACUCAAAGGAAUUGACGGGGACCCGCACAAGCGGUGGAGCAU